GUGGGGAAUUUUGGACAAUGGGCGCAAGCCUGAUCCAGCAAUGCCGCGUGCAGGAAGAAGGCCUUCGGGUUGUAAACUGCUUUUGUACGGAACGAAACGGUUCUCUCUAAUACAGGGGGCUAAUGACGGUACCGUAAGAAUAAGCACCGGCUAACUACGUGCCAGCAGCCGCGGUAAUACGUAGGGUGCAAGCGUUAAUCGGAAUUACUGGGCGUAAAGCGUGCGCAGGCGGUUUUGUAAGACAGAGGUGAAAUCCCCGGGCUCAACCUGGGAACUGCCUUUGUGACUGCAAGGCUGGAGUGCGGCAGAGGGGGAUGGAAUUCCGCGUGUAGCAGUGAAAUGCGUAGAUAUGCGGAGGAACACCGAUGGCGAAGGCAAUCCCCUGGGCCUGCACUGACGCUCAUGCACGAAAGCGUGGGGAGCAAACAGGAUUAGAUACCCGGGUAGUCC
rnacentral:rRNA from 1 species